ensembl:lncRNA
ACAGGUGCUGCCGGGCAGCUCCGCCACUCUCUUAGCCCUGCCUCGGGAGCUGGGAGGACAGCGCCAGAGAAAACCAGGGGUUUGCACUUGAAAGAGCGGAAGGACCUCCGCGGGUGCCUGCUCUGGACAAGGCUGUGCCGUGAGGACUGUGGGCUCCUGGUGGCUGCCGGCACCCGCCCUGGGCAUGCCCGCGGGAAAACCGGCUGCAGGGCCGAAGGAGACCUUCCCAGAAGCGAGAGCUCGGACAGCGCCCUUGGAGACAGUGAAGAGGAAGCGUGCACGGCCGCCGCCCUGGGUCCGGGACGCCGCGGGCACAGGACUGAGGCGGAGAAGUGGAGAGAAGAAGUGGAGCUGCCUCUGCCAAGGUCUGCGCUCCAACUGCAGCGCUACUGGAAAGGUUUCUUCUAAAGCGCGCACCCUAAUGGGCCGGACGUUGUUCUAGGUCUCAGAGCGCCAGCAACCCGAAUGCAGGAAACUUCGGCCGCUCUCUUUUGGCGGGUUACUGCCCCACCUACACGCCCGACCUGGUGCUUCAUGGGACCAGCACCGACGAGAAGCUGAGGCAGUGCCUGCCGGCUGAUCUGGCCCACACAGUGCAUCACCCAGUGCUUGACGAGCCCAUAGCGGAGGCCGUCUGUAUUGUGCGGACACGGACAAGUGGAGUGUCCAGGUGGCCACGAGUCAGCGGAAAGUGACGGACAGCAUGAAGCUGGGCCAGGACGUCCUGGUCUCCAGUCAGGUGUGCAGUUUACUUCAGUCCAUUCUGCAGCUUCACAAGCUUCACCUCCCUGCUGAUUUUUGCAUCAUGCAUCUAGAAGACAGACUGCAGGAGCUGUACCUUAAAAGUAAGAUGCUGUCCGAGUAUCUCACGGGGGACACACGCGUCCACGUGAAGGAGCUGGGUGUCGUGCUGGGGAUUGAAUCUAAUGACCUGCCUCUGUUGACUGCUAUCGCCAGCACACAUUCUCCUCAUGUGGCUCAAAUACUACUAUAAGCUAAAGCUCAGGACACUUCUUCCUUGGAAGAAGAAAAAUUCUCAGCUGCAAGAGAAAGGAAUAAGCUCUCUGGACGUCCAGCGUGAGAAGAGCAAGCAGAAACCAUUCCCGCUGUGUGUCUUGCACUGUUGCUUUCAGGUGGAUGCUUAUUGGAAGACUUAUGUUGGCACGGCACAGUGGCAUUUGUGACUUCAGGAGGCCUUUCUGCCUUUCGUUCCCAUGACUCAGCAGAGCCAGCCUGCUGGCGGAGGGGCACAGCACUACAGAGCGCUCGCUGCCGCGCUGCCAGGCGGGGCGAGGGGCGAGGGGCACUGUGUCAUUCUAGCAGCAGCGCCCAGCAGGCGGUGCUGCACACGAGCCAGGCGGGCGCGCUGUUCUAGAGACCGCGGUCCUCAGGCCAGGCGGGAAAGCCAUGCCACUGGCCACUGCCCCCAGCUCUGGCUGCAGCAGCUGCCGUGGGGAACAGAGGGUGCUGGGGGCGCUGUCCCCUUUCUGUUCAGUUUACUUGACUCAGGUGCAACCACAGGGAGUCAGAGAUGGAGCACUGGUGCGAGGUCUGUAUCUUGGGGAGAGGCGCUCAGCAGAGGACUGCAGGGAGGGAGGGCUCCCGCCGGCCGCCCCUUCCUGUGAGCGCUGCCAAGGACCAGGCUGUUUGAGGCACGGCUGGCUGGGUGGGAGCGAGGUCUGCAGCAGUUCCUUCGCAUAUUUCAGACAAUCCAUAUCUGAUCUGGAUUUUUACAUUAUCACCUCUGCACCUUCUGAUUCCUAUGUCCUUUUCAAAAUGACUUUACAGAAUUUCACUUGACCGUCAUAUAAAGCUUACCAAAGUGAAGAAUUAUUGUUCUAGUUCACUUCUAAAAAAAACCUUAAUUUUCUGUUACCAUAAAGAGACUUGGUUUGCUGACCAUGAAACAGACUGUGUGCUCACCUCUAGAGUAGAGUGGAAGACUUUUAACCUCUGACUGUGGAAAGGCAGGAGCAGUGGUAAAGCCAGCUGCUGCCGCACUUCAUGUGUCCCUGGCCUUGAGAACAGGAGAGGGAGCUCUCUGGGGGGAGCUGGCUGGCUGAUGGAGCCAUGAGUGACAUAAGUCUGUCUCUGUUCUUUCGCAAAUACAAGUCCGUUGUUGAUGCGUGAGUCGGCCAGCUGCCCGGGAGGCAGGCAGCGCUGAGGACCAGGGCAGAGCUGUUCCCCCUCCGCCCGCUAAGAAGAGGUCAGUGGGUGCCCAAAAAGGCCUGUAAGAUUUUUAAAUUUUCUUUGACGUCUUUCACAAAAUCGAAGUUUCCCUUUCUUUUGAAUCUUUGCUGUUGUGCCUGAGGGAGAGAACGCACCCUCCCCUGGGUCCUGCCCCGGCAUCUGCUUUCCCUUCUGUGUGAAUAAGCAGGUGGCAGCCUUUCCCUUGGUCCGGUCUGCACCGCCCAGCGCAUUCCCUUGUUUACACCUGUGGGCACUUUGCCUCGCUUCAGAGGAAAGGACAGGAUACAGACUCACUUCUGUUCUGUUCAGGUGUGUACCCAGGAGCAUGUGAAAUUAGCCCCAUCCAGGGGAAACUGACUUUAACCGGCUGAUUCUCAACUCCAUGUAUAAAAUAUUUAGCCCAGACCUUCAACCGGAGAAAACUGGCCCCUAAGAGUGUUGUUCCGGACUGCCCUGGGGAGAAGCUGGCAGGAGCUGCUCUCGGUCACAGUGGGGUUUGCCUCGGUGGUGGGAUUCCAGUCAGAGCCUGAUCCUCAGGUCUGUUACCUGUGAAACAGACCAGGAAUGCUGCUGCCCCUGUAGCCCUCCUCUGAACCCUGCCGUUCACAUUUUCUUUGUUUAAAUUCAACCUCUUCCCAAAAGUGAGAGAGAAUCCUCAUGGACUUGUGCCGAGAUGCGCCUGCUGCUCCUCCACACACCUGGGUUCCAUCCACCUUGGCCAGCUGGGCCAGAAAGGGACUUGCUCUCCCCCGUGCCCACCGUGGCGAUAAAAAUAAAAAUCAAAAAAAUAAGAAAUCUACCUCAGUUGACAGAUUCGACCUCUAGGGUUUUUUUCAACUUGUGAGUCUUACCUGUUGAGUGGAACUUUCGCAGUGUCUUGCUUUUCUGAGCAAGCUAGCGAGGCACAACAGAGCAGAAGGACUUCAGUCACUGUGAUGGGCCUCUCCUAGCAUAUUGCAGUUUUAUUUUUAACAAACUGAUAAGUGAUAUGAAUGUAAAGGUAAUUGUAGCGCAUUUUAAACACGACAAUGAAAAUUUAAAAUGUAGCUUCCAGACUUGUGCAUAAUUCCAAAGUAUUUUAUUUUUAUCAGUGUUAAAUAGCUUUUUGUACAGGCUUCAAUCCAUUUUUCUGAAAUGUGCUGUUUUUUAAUGAAAGUAACUAUAAUCUUUUCACAUCCCAUGGAACUGCUGUUUACACAUUGCAACUUUUUAAACUUAACCAUAUUUUUCCGAAUUAACUUUUUUGGAGGGAGGAAAUUCCCCACUUGCUAAAUGAUACUAAACUGUCGUUUGGGCUCUUAUAAUUAGGUCCUCAGAUUUUAUAAAAGGGUAGUCUGUAGCUUUCUAGGUUCUUCACUAACUAAAGUUGGUUGUACAUAAAUAAUAGAGUGACACCCAAAAUCUUUUAAAUAUCUGGGUUUUCCACUAGCGACAUAGCGUGGAGAAGUAUUUUGUUCAUGCAUACUUUAGCCAUUAAAUUGGACACAUCUUGAGCUUCUCUUAGUUAAUGCGAACCGUUUGUUUUUUUUUAUUGUACUUGAGACAGGAUAUUUUAAUAUAAUUUUUGCCUAAAUCAAACAGCCCACUCUAAAUGUUAAUUUUUAAAUGUCAGACUUUGGUGAGCCAUCUCUUUGGGAAGUAAGAUUACAGUAUGCUUAAUUUUCAGUGGUGGCUAAAGACAAAAUUCUGGGAUUUGUUACUAUUAAAGCUUCAUUAAGAGAAAUUGAUAGAGACUUUCUAUUUUUUGAUCAACUGAAUGGAUACCAAUGUCAGUGUAUGGGAAACUUUUCUUAAAACUUGUUCAUGUAUUCUUUUGAUCCAUUUUCUGUGGCAUUUGGUGCA